GCGUCUGUAGCUCAGGUGGAUAGAGCAGGGGUUUCCUAAACCUCGAGCCGGGGGUUCGAGUCCUCCCAGGCGCACCA
rnacentral:tRNA from 1 species